rnacentral:rRNA from 1 species
CCCUUAGAUGUUCUGGGCCGCACGCGCGCUACAAUGGCAGACUCAGCGAGUUACCUCUGUCGAAAGGCACAGGGAAUCUUUACAGUAUCUGCCGUGAUGGGGAUAGACCCUUGUAAUUUUUGGUCUCCAACGAGGAAUUCCUAGUAAACGCAAGUCAUUAACUUGCAUUGAUUACGUCCCUGCCCUUUGUACACACCGCCCGUCGCACCUACCGAUUGAAUGGUCCGGUGAAGUCCUCGGACCCAGUUGAACCUCGAGUUGAACAGGGAAAGUUGACUAAAUCUUACCAUUUAGAGGAAGGUGAAGUCGUAACA